rnacentral:lncRNA from 1 species
GUACCAAAAUUAAUUGAACAGAUGAAUAUUUCUACUCUUAUUAUAAUGCUCUUCUCCUAUCCCAAUGAUUUUCACAUUAACGUUCUAUGUCUGUUUAGAUUGAUUACCCAUUUUUAUACGACCGCAAAUUUUUUUGAGGGGUUCCUAUAAUGCUAUGAUGUCGUCGUCGUCGUCCGAUGACACAUUUGGUUUCCGGACAAAAAAAAUUACUUUAAGUUAAUGGAUCUCUAUGAAAUUUUACAAAAAGGUUCAAUACCACAUAAGGAAGAUUGAAGUUGAUUUAAGGGGUUAAGGUACCAACAAUUUAUGAAUUAAGGGUAAAAAACAAGCAUUUUUUUAGUCUCUGGGCAAUAACUUGUGCACACAUGUCAGUGUAUGGAUCUCUCUGACAUUGUACCACAAUGUUCCAUAUCACAAAAAGAAGG